GUAGGUGAACCUGCGGAAGGAUCAUUAACACUUUUUCGAAAGUUUUAUAAGCGAGAAAUUGCGUGGAAUUUUAUUUGGUUUGCUUUGAGAGCCCUUAUGGGCUUGAGAACAACCAAAUUUUUAACACCCCAAACAUAAACAAACAUAAACUAAAAACAAUAAAAAAAUUGUAGAGGAGCUCACGCUUCACACUACAAACUUUUUACGAAAUGAUAAGAACAACUCUUAACAACGGAUAUCUUGGUUCUC
rnacentral:misc_RNA from 1 species